GACGAACGCUGGCGGCGUGCUUAACACAUGCAGGUCGAGCGGUAAGGCCCCUCGGGGUACGACGAGCGGCGAACGGGUGAGUAACACGUGGGUGACCUGCCCUCAGCUCUGGGAUAAGCCUGGGAAACGUGGGUCGUAAUACCGGAUAUGACUCCAUGACGCAUGUCGGUGGGGUGGAAAGCCUUGUGCGGCUGGGGAUGGGCCCGCGGCCUAUCAGCUUGUUGGUGGGGUGAUGGCCUACCAAGGCGACGACGGGUAGCCGGCCUGAGAGGGCGACCGGCCACACUGGGACUGAGACACGGCCCAGACUCCUACGGGAGGCAGCAGUGGGGAAUCUUGCGCAAUGGGCGAAAGCCUGACGCAGCGACGCCGCGUGAGGGAUGAC
rnacentral:rRNA from 1 species